AGCGCCAUCUUUAAUCAUGUCAUUCUAAAGCGCUACCUAUCUACUUUCCCUAAUACAAUCUAUGUUAAUACUUCUCCCGGGGAAUCCCCGUUCUGUGUAUACGUGCGCUAAGCAGCGAUGUUCCGAUAGUUGUUAGUGUAAUAAAGAGUUUAUUUUUCUAAUAGCGAUGAAAUGCUUUACACUACACUCUACAUGAACAUCACCACAGAUCUAAAACGUAAAACGCCGAGGGCCAUCCACCUCCGAAACCAUGUUCGCAGAGGUACCCUGUGAGAGGCAUAGACAUCACCACGCCGAAGUGAGUUCCUAUUACGCACGAAGACAGUGAGCAUAUUUCUAUACUGAGCAUCAUCACUGCAGUUGCGUUUAUGAACAGUACGCAUCACAUCUGUCAUUAAAAAAGCUGAUUGUCUGUU